UUUACUCGUGUCAGCUCCAAGCCAUUUGACACAGAACCACCUUUUACAAACCAUACCACUUUUGGGGAAAUCGUUGGACUAACCAAAUGGAUGAGUUUCUACUUAUGUGGGUUAGGUGUCAAGCAAUCAAGGUUAGAGUAAUUGGAUCUCAAGUGAAAGCUAUCAAUACUUCUAAUGGGAGGAAUUUACCUGAAUGCCCAACUUUAAUCUUUGAAUUUUGUUGGACGUGGGGUUUGAAGGUGCGAUCGAAGGUUCAGUUGACGACUUCUCUGAAGUGUUGAGUGAACGGAUAUGUAAAAUAUGAACAAAUUUGAGAGUGCUUGCUGAUAGUUACAAGAAACAGUGCUCGGCCAUUGAGCUUCUGAAGAUGUUGCUGAAAACAGUAGGGUUUAGUAAUUUUGCACCGUUAUUGGAUGUGGCUAAAGAUGACUCCAAGAAUAAUGUACAACAGAGUCAGCAAAAAGUUCAUGGAAUGCAGCCACAGCUACAACAACAACAGUAGAGUUCCCUUCGGUUGCCUCAACAACAGCUACUUAUUUUGGAUCCUUGAGAACCCUUCACUAUGGUAGAUGUAUUUUGUGCUUCCUCAAAACAGAAUUACCCCUACCUCAAGUUGAAUUGUGAUUUAUUUUUUGUCUGGCCAGUUACCAUUAUUUAUAGCAUCCAUCAAAAAAAUAUUUUCUACAUAUCGUGUGUUAUUUGAAUAUGAAUAUUAUGAGACUGCAGUUCA